UUGAUUUUUUGAAAUUUAAUAUUGGAUCGGAUAUCCAAAAUCUUUUCAAUUUUAUAUAAAUAAAAUUAGAUAAAAUCGGAUUGAUCGAGACGUCAUCGAUGGGCGUUCAACUCUUGUACGCAGUCCUAUGUAUGAAGUCUUCACUUGCACUUGUUUGCCGCUUCGGUGGGUCACUAUGAGCCAACUGGCCAAUGAAGGGCUAAAACUCGAUCCGGCCCAGUCGUCGGCCUUCAAUCCACAAGCGCGGGCAGCGGGAGGGGCACCCAUCCAUUCGUUCCCCGGAGGGCAGCCUCACCUGACACCAACGCCAGUGCUGGUGGUACUCUCUCUCUCCUCUGCCCCGUUCUUUCCCUUUCGUCUGCCUGCCAACGAUCGUCACCUCCUUCUCUUCUGUUCUAUCUCUUGAGCUUACUCGUUGGAGGAAGCGACGAGAUGGACUGCUGGGGCUGAGAUAGUGCGUCCCUCUGCCCCUUCCAUCAGCUGCUCCAUCUGCUCUCCGUUCUUCGAUCUGUAGCCAUCGCCAUGGGACAAAAAUAUGCAGAUAGUAGCCUGUCAAGAUAUGAGAAGCCGCUAAGCCAUGUAGCCAAAGCAGUGUAGUAUCAUACUACACCAAGCACCAAAAGUAGGGUGAAACCAUAUAAACAACCAAACAUAACAGGUAAUUAGACGACUCACUACUCUAAGCUCUUAUAUGCCGAACGAAGGCAGCACAUGAGAGAGAGAGCGAGAGACGAUCUAACGCCAUGAGGAAACCGUGAGAAGCGGGCGGUCAUCCCACGCGAGGGUGAGGAAGCCCGGAGCGGAAUCUAAGACGGCGUACUUGUAGCUGAAGUCGUAAUUCCACAGGAGAAGCUUCGCUUGGCUGACCGCGAAGUUGCUGACAGGCAAAGGCUCGAAACCGGACCGCUCCAUCACGGCCCUCCAUUCCUCCUUGGCCUCCAUCCGCUCCCGUCGGUUCGGCCCAUCGCCCGCACCCACUGCCCCCAGGAUCCGAUGCCCUAAGAGGAGGCGCUCCACCUGGGCUCGCUCGGCCGAGUCGCGCCGUAUUGCUGGGUCGAGCGAGUCGAACACGGCCGCGUAGUAGGCCAGCGCCGCCUUGAAUCGCUCCACGAAGCGCCCCCGGUUGACGCUCGCCUCGUACUCCCCCAGCGUCACGACGCGGGGGACGAGCGACUUUGCGAUCCCGAGGACGCGCUCCACCGAUUCGGGUGAGUCGGCGAGGAGGUGGUAGAGCUGGAGCAUGAAGUUGACAACCACCACCUCGUCCGAGUCGAUCCUGAAGCAGGACACUGUGAGCUCCGCGAUCGGGGUCAGGAUGGGGUCGAACUCGAAGUCCAGGUCGAGGAUCGCGGCAAAGUCGCGCAGGCGGUUUCCGGUAGCGGUAAGCGAGGCGGCGGGGGCGGCGCCCAGCAUCGGCGCGGGGAUGCCGGAGACCCGGACCCUGGAGGGUUUCCCGCGGGGGCGGGUUGCCAGAGCUUGGAGGAGUGCCGCCCACUGGAUCCCCUGGAUGAUCCCAAAGUCCACAAUGUGGAUACGCGCCGCGGAUUCGGUGGCCUCGACGAUCGCCUGGUUCGCUGUGAGGUGGGCGAACUUGGAGUAGGGGCAUGCGUCGUUGAAGACCUUGUAGCAGAGGGUGAAGUCCUCCGGUGACGAAUCGAACGCGGAGGUGGAGCACAGCGGCACCGCCACGGUGGAGGGAUGCGAGUGGUCCUUCUGAUCACCAAGGAGGCGGCGGUUGAGAGCUUCGGCGAAGUAGAAGGCCACGCGUUCCGUUGGAUCGCCCAACACAGAGGCGGACUCCCUGACAUGGAUCAGGGACUUGGCAGCGAGAUCAGGGUCGCCAUCGGCGAGCCGCGCGCAGUCGAGGAGUGAUUCCAAGAGAGGCGGCGAUGAGGUGUUGCUCUCUGGCACCUCAUCUCGGACGGAGGCGAAUGCGGCAGCUCCAGGGUCCUUGUUUAGUUCCGGCGGAUCGAAUGACGGGGUUUCCGAUGCCAGUCCUGGAGAGUUUAGGGCAACAACGGCGGUAUACUGGUGGUCGUGCUGGAUCGGUGGAAGAUGAGCGAUCUCGGAGGGCUCGGAAAAGAGGACGCAGUUGAUGCCCGACGCGGACGCCGGGUGGAAGGGGUGGUUUAUGUCGGCGGAGCAAGAGGGGAAAACGUCCGCGAAGAGGGCGCCUGAGGCGCCCGCUGCGGCCUGUCACGGGUCGCUCAUGAGGUCACAGUUGUCAGCGGGAGACUCACCGAUCAGACUCUCCAUCCACUCUUCGGUAUCGAACUCCGGGGUCACGGCGGCGGAAGAGGAGUGGAAGUCGCAGAGGCGGAAGGGAGCCUGGUCAAGGUGGCCGCUGCCCCCGGGUGGCGCCUCGAAGCCAGCGGCGCGGUCGAGGGUGAAGGGCUCCAGGAAGGCGGCCUCGGCGUCGGGGAUGACGAAGGCGGCCUCGGACAUGUGCUGCUGGUGAUGGUGCGAAGCGCCCCACGACUGGGUGCUGGUGGAAAACGGGUUGGCGGAGGCAGCCAGCUGCUGUUGCUGUUGGCGCUGCUGCUGGACGACCUGCUGCGCGAUCGCCAUUAGAUUUCCGCUCUCCGCGCACAUGUACGCCAUUCCCCUCCUGAAAUCCUCCGACGAACAACCAAUAUACUACGCCCUCCUUAGUCUGCGAGCUUUAAGUUCUUCAGUGGUUGCUCUUCUGGAUCGACAGGGACCAUUUAGGCCGGAUUGAUGUACAAAAAUGGAGAUGCGGAGCGGUUCUGAUGUCAGGAUAUAUCGUGUCGAGAGAAGAGUGUGUGAGGAUGGCAGUCGACAGGGAAGGUUUCGAGCGGUAUGGUACCGGUGGGAUUUAUAAAAGUGGGAAGUUUUCUCUCGAA